rnacentral:lncRNA from 1 species
AUGUCUCAUCCGUCCAGCAGCGUGGAAGAGGCAGCGAAACGGAGAGCUCAAGAUGGCAAGAUGAGACGACAGGAAGGGGAUGAUCCCCAGCCGGAGGAGAAGAGGCUGAAGCUGGGGAAUGAAGGAGGAAGCUCUGGAAAGGAAGAAGCAAGAGGAGGAGGAGGAGGAGGAGGAGGAGGAGGAAGAGAAGGAGAAGAAGAAGGAGAGAGCAAGAGAAUGCCAUGCUUGAGUUGUGAAGAGUCUGGGACCCAGACGGAGGAAGAAGGCCCAACUCCUUAUAAAUCUGAAUCUAUGGAGUUGGCUCUCACUUCCAGGAACACUCCUCAAGGUCCAGAACCAGCUCUUACAGAAGUGAAAGGCUCUACUCUGUUCUUCCGAUGACAAGCCGUCCCUCGUCAAUUGAAUUUCCAUUUUUCAUUCUGCAGAAAGCCAAACAGCCAGCAAACCCAUUACUUAAGAGCAGAGCAAAGCAUGCAUUUGAAAAUACAAAUUGCUUAGCAGGAGAAUGCAUUUUUUUUUAAAAAAGGGGGGGUGCUAUUUAAAAAUAACACAGCGAGAGAGGGAGGAAGCCUGAGAAGCUAAAAACGUCAAACAGUUUCCAUUAACAUAAAACUCACACCACUUAAUGUUGAGCAGGAAUGCAGAACUUGUGUUCCGAUAUGUA